ACACCCUUAAUGCUAUGCAAUGCACCUCUCUCUUCCCUCUCCCUGUGGCCAGAGAAGAGUCCAAAUUCCAGAAAAAUAUGGGUUGGAAAUGGAUUCAGGAGUUGUAAUAUUUAUGAGGUAAUAGCAGAGUAAAUUAAGGAAUGCAUUAUAGCUGUUAAAGCAAUCUUAAGGGAAAUCUGAGGCUUCCACUGCAGCACCAUGCUUACUCCCUAGGAGUCUACUAGCAAACAAACUUACGAGCGUCUUUCCAUUUGGUCCACGGUGACAUUCUUAUGUCUUAUUAUGGGUGUGUAAAGUAAGAUUCAUUUUUCUGGGCUAAAUUCUAAAAGAGGCAAUGGAUUUCAACAGAGGUUUUAAAUCGGCACCACAAAACGUCGCAGUUUGCUCCACUUUUUGCGGUGUAAAGCUCGCUACCUGGAAACCACCCUGGUGAACCUAUGGUUGCUGCCUUUCAUCCUGAAUAGAUCCUCGGGCAAGAAGAGAUCCCAAGAAAGUUGCUUCACCACCUGCACAUGAAGGCUAUGGGAGAAGAAGUGAUCUCAGGGAUCAGCAGUUGACCCUUCUGAGGGCCCUGGACUCUUAGCAGCUGCCCAACAAUGCCAUCCUCUAAUGUUACAUGCACCUUUGGCCUAAGGUUUAAAGUUUACAAAAAGAGAUCCAUAUCACUCAGGAGGCGAAGUCUUCUAAUGAAAAAUGCAUCGCAAAAACACCAAAAGAAAGAACAUAGUGUAGAAGUUAUUUAUUCUGUUGAAGAUCAUCACAAAGAAUCGUUUCUUCCCAGCUGUUUCCCUCUGAACAACACUAUAUUGUAGCACAAGUGUGGGAAUACAUGAACCUGUACCUAAAUGAAUAUAUGAAGCUGUACCUAAAUCCAUUGUUAGGUACAAAAUCUGUAAAAUAGAAAGGGAUCAGAGAAAGCUGAAGAACAGUUCUUCCACUUUGCACUAGCUAGAAAAAGAAGGCGAUGUACAUCAUGCAAAGUGAAGCAUUGCCCUUAUUUUCCUGAACUCUCUGAAGUGGCAGAAAUGACUGUGGGCAAUCUUCCUCAGCCUUUCCAGCUUUCUGUUGGAUUCGUUUAUAUCCACACAACCCACAUUAAGGUUCACUAGCUGUAUACAGCAAUCAAGGACAUGGCUUGGUAACCACUCUGGGACCAAAUAUAAAAAUAUUAUCUUAGUUAUCUGUUGCUAUAUGAACAUUGAGAACAUCAAGAGCAGAACUAGAAAAUUACUCAAAAGGCUAAAACUCCUUCCCACCCUGCUGUGCCUCUGUCAUAUUUUGGCAGAAAAGAAUGGCAUAUUCAACCAUCCUGCACAUACUGAAGUCAGUGAACCUUUCUUUCAAAAAGGAACAACAUGAAGAACUCUGUUUUGGGGAUAUAUUAGU